GGAUGGGCUCAGUGGUUAAGAGUACUGGCUGUUCUUCCAGAGGACCUGGGUUCAAUUCCCAGCACCCA
rnacentral:tRNA from 1 species